GCGUAGGUCCACUAGGGUUCCGUCUGCGGCAGCGCAGGGUCUGGUCCGAGAGUGGGCCGGCCUCAUCGCAGGCUCCACGGAGGGACAAAAGCCCGGGAGAA
rfam:Hydrogenophaga sp. H7 H7_scaffold5, whole genome shotgun sequence.